rnacentral:snRNA from 1 species
GGAUGUGAGGGCGAUCUGGCUGCGACAUCUGUCACCCCAUUGAUCGCCAGGGUUGAUUCGGCUGAUCUGGCUGGCUAGGCGGGUGUCCCCUUCCUCCCUCACCGCUCCAUGUGCGUCCCUCCCGAAGCUGCGCGCUCGGUCGAAGAGGACGACCAUCCCCGAUAGACAAUACUUUUCACUCUGGGACUGGAGU